ACGGCCUCAUUAGGAAAGGGCAAAGUCUAGCUCUCCAGCACCCAGCAAGCAGGGUACCACAGACGGAGCAAGAUACCAAUAGGGCUGGGGUGGGGGGUGGGAGGGACUCAUAAGUCAUGACUUGGGACCUUGGUGACACUGGAAUUCAGGAAGUAGAGGUCAGACUACUGAGGCACCUGAGGAACAAUGAAUGCUUCAUCAAGAGGGCCUAAGAAGGUCCCACACACCGCUUCUGGGAAAGGGGCAGGCAAGUCUCCACAUUCUCCAAUGGAUGAAAGAAGAAGGUGUCAGAGUGACAACAGAGGGGCAUCAGGGUGAGUAGAGACGAUGUUCUCUUUGGACAGUUCACCCUAUGCUCAACUCAGCAACUACAGGCACAGCUGCUGGCUUCUAACCGCCGCUGGCAUCUGCCUCCGGUGUCAGUACCACCCACCCUGGAGUUACCAGCAGGGCACCCCGUGCUGGGCCAGGCAGCAUUCCUGCCAGGCCCAGCCAGCAAUGUGCUCUAAGAGGCACUCGAGGGAGCCACCUCCUUUACUCCUCUACUUCCCGACCUUCCGUUUCCUGCCCAGUGACUCUAAAUCGGGGAGCAAAUUGCUGAAAUCCCUCUUAGCCCUUCCCUGCAUAGGUAAUCAGGUUCCUGUGGAAACUCCAUAGCAUCCCUCCCUAGCCCACAGCAGAGAAAGAGGCAGAAAACCCCGGCCAGCCGAAACCUAAUAAGUCGCCCAGCGGGGAGCACAGAGACGUGAUGACGGGUACCCUUUGAGAGGAACACAUGUGAAGAGAGGCUGGGAUGGACUUCCCGGUAGCCGUGGCCCGAGUCCUCCUGGGAGACCAGAAUAUGAAAACGGCUCACAGAAGGGAGACAAGCCCGGACAGGAUGUGUGAGCACCCAGGGAAGGAAGGGCAUCAGGCCUUGCCAUUCAGGCCCACCUGCCUCCUCCACU